GAGUUUGAUCAUGGCUCAGAUUGAACGCUGGCGGCAGGCCUAACACAUGCAAGUCGAGCGGUAGCACAGGGAGCUUGCUCCUGGGUGACGAGCGGCGGACGGGUGAGUAAUGUCUGGGAAACUGCCUGAUGGAGGGGGAUAACUACUGGAAACGGUAGCUAAUACCGCAUAACGUCGCAAGACCAAAGAGGGGGACCUUCGGGCCUCUUGCCAUCAGAUGUGCCCAGAUGGGAUUAGCUAGUAGGUGGGGUAAUGGCUCACCUAGGCGACGAUCCCUAGCUGGUCUGAGAGGAUGACCAGCCACACUGGAACUGAGACACGGUCCAGACUCCUACGGGAGGCAGCAGUGGGGAAUAUUGCACAAUGGGCGCAAGCCUGAUGCAGCCAUGCCGCGUGUAUGAAGAAGGCCUUCGGGUUGUAAAGUACUUUCAGCGAGGAGGAAGGCGGUGAGGUUAAUAACCUCAUCGAUUGA
rnacentral:rRNA from 1 species